CCUACGGGAGGCAGCAGUAAGGAAUAUUGGUCAAUGGACGAAAGUCUGAACCAGCCAUGCCGCGUGAAGGAUUAAGGCCCUCUGGGUUGUAAACUUCUUUUAUCUGGGACGAAAAAAGGGUAUUCUUACUCACUUGACGGUACCAGAGGAAUAAGCACCGGCUAACUCCGUGCCAGCAGCCGCGGUAAUACGGAGGGUGCAAGCGUUAUCCGGAUUUACUGGGUUUAAAGGGUGCGUAGGUGGGCUUGUAAGUCAGUGGUGAAAUCUCCGGGCUUAACCCGGAAACUGCCAUUGAUACUAUAGGUCUUGAAUUAUCUGGAGGUAAGCGGAAUAUGUCAUGUAGCGGUGAAAUGCUUAGAUAUGACAUAGAACACCAAUUGCGAAGGCAGCUUACUACGGAUAUAUUGACACUGAGGCACGAAAGCGUGGGAAUCAAACAGGAUUAGAUACCCUGGUAGUCCACGCCCUAAACGAUGGAUACUCGACAUCAGCGAUACACUGUUGGUGUCUGAGCGAAAGCAUUAAGUAUCCACCUGGAAGUACGAUCGCAAGAUUGAAACUCAAAGGAAUUGACGG
rnacentral:rRNA from 1 species